rnacentral:rRNA from 1 species
UACGUAGGUGGCAAGCGUUGUCCGGAUUUACUGGGCGUAAAGAGCGCGCAGGCGGUCGUUCAAGUCGCGUGUGAAAGCCCCCGGCUCAACUGGGGAGGGUCACGCGAUACUGAUCGACUCGAAGGCAGGAGAGGGUAGUGGAAUUCCCGGUGUAGUGGUGAAAUGCGUAGAUAUCGGGAGGAACACCAGUGGCGAAGGCGGCUAUCUGGACGGUUUCUGACGCUGAGGCACGAAGGCCAGGGGAGCAAACGGG